rnacentral:rRNA from 1 species
UACAGAGGUCCCGAGCGUUGUUCGGAUUCACUGGGCGUAAAGGGUGCGUAGGUGGUGGGGUAAGUCUGAUGUGAAAUUCUCUGAGCUCAACUCAGAAAUUGCAUUAGAAACUACCUUGCUAGAGGAUUGGAGGGGGACUGGAAUUCUCGGUGUAGCAGUGAAAUGCGUAGAUAUCGAGAGGAACACCAGUGGCGAAGGCGAGUCCCUGGACAAUACCUGACACUGAGGCACGAAAGCUAGGGGAGCAAACAGG